rnacentral:rRNA from 1 species
UACGUAUGGGGCGAGCGUUGUUCGGAUUUAUUGGGCGUAAAGGGCGCGUAGGCGGUUCGGAAAGCCUGGUGUGAAAGGCUACGGCUUAACCGUAGUUAGGCGCUGGGAACUGCCGGACUGGAGUUUAGGAGGGGAAGCUGGAAUUCCUGGUGUAGGGGUGAAAUCUGUAGAUAUCAGGAAGAACACCGGAGGCGAAGGCGAGCUUCUAUCCAUAGACUGACGCUGAGGCGCGAAAGCGUGGGGAG